rnacentral:rRNA from 1 species
AUUAGAGUUUGAUCCUGGCUCAGAACGAACGCUGGCGGCGUGGAUAAGACAUGCAAGUCGCACGGGAUUCAUCUGGUAGCAAUACUGGGUGAGUUUAGUGGCGCAAGGGUGCGUAACACGUGGGCAACCUGCCCUGGAGUGGGGAAUAGCCCGCCGAAAGGCGGAUUAAUACCGCAUGUGGCUACUGGGUGAUUACCUGGGACGCUAAAGGAGGUGUCAAAGCUUCCGCUCUGGGAUGGGCCCGCGGCCUAUCAGCUAGUUGGUUGAGGUAACGGCUCACCAAGGCUAUGACGGGUAGCUGGUCUGAGAGGACGACCAGCCACACUGGAACUGAGACACGGUCCAGACACCUACGGGUGGCAGCAGUCGAGAAUUUUUCUCAAUGGGGGCAACCCUGAAGGAGCGACGCCGCGUGGAGGAUGAAGGUUUUCGGAUUGUAAACUCCUGUCAUUGGUGAACAAGAGCUUCACGUUAACUGCGUGGGGUUUUGCUAGUAGCCGAAGAGGAAGGGACGGCUAACUCUGUGCCAGCAGCCGCGGUAAUACAGAGGUCCCAAGCGUUGUUCGGAUUCAUUGGGCGUAAAGGGUGCGUAGGCGGCGGGGUAAGUCUGAUGUGAAAGGCUGGGGCUCAACCUCAGUAUGGCAUUGGAUACUGCUUUGCUAGAGUCCUGGAGAGGAGACUGGAAUUUACGGUGUAGCAGUGAAAUGCGUAGAGAUCGUAAGGAAGACCAGUGGCGAAGGCGAGUCUCUGGACAGGUACUGACGCUGAGGCACGAAGGCUAGGGGAGCAAACGGGAUUAGAUACCCCGGUAGUCCUGGCAGUAAACGGUGUGCGUUUGGUGUAGGAGGAAUCGACCCCUUCUGUGCCGGAGCUAACGCGUUAAACGCACCGCCUGGGGAGUACGGUCGCAAGAUUAAAACUCAAAGAAAUUGACGGGGGCCCGCACAAGCGGUGGAGUAUGUGGCUUAAUUCGAUGCAACGCGAAGAACCUUACCUGGGCUUGACAUGCAUCUCUAAGUUGGUGAAAGCCAGCGAGUGGAGCAAUCCACGAUUUGCACAGGUGCUGCAUGGCUGUCGUCAGCUCGUGUCGUGAGAUGUUGGGUUAAGUCCCGCAACGAGCGCAACCCCUGUGAUCUGUUGCCACCUUGGCCUUGCCAAGAGCACUCUGGUCAGACUGCCCUGUGAAACGGGGAGGAAGGUGGGGAUGACGUCAAGUCAGCAUGGCCCUUACGCCCAGGGCUGCACACGUACUACAAUGCCCAGUACAGAAGGAGCCAAAGCCGCGAGGUGGAGGAAAUCAUGAUAAAACUGGGCCCAAUUCGGAUUGCAGGCUGCAACUCGCCUGCAUGAAGCCGGAAUCGCUAGUAAUGGCGCAUCAGCUACGGCGCCGUGAAUACGUUCCCGGGCCUUGUACACACCGCCCGUCACAUCAUGGGAGUCGUUGGUACCCGAAGACCGGCCUUUGGUGGUCGCCUAAGGUAUGAGCGGUAACUGGGAUGAAGUCGUAACAAGGUAACCAAU